AGCAGCUCCCACCCCUCACCUGCCAUCCUCAGGGCUGAGUGCUGGGCUGUUCUCAGCUCCAUCCAUUGGGACUCUGGUUAGAGCAGGACUGCAGCUGGAAAUCUCUUUUCCCAAUAAAUUUAAUUUGCUUUUACACCACGUUCCUACUAUUUGGACAACAAGCCCCUGCUAUUGAUGGGAUCCUGCCUCAACAUCCCCAGCAGGACCAGGAUUUUGGCCAGACAACGAGGUCAUGGCUCAGCACCAGCAGCAGGCCUGGUUUUAUCUCAGCUGAAGUCCUAUUUUUGGGACAUUCAGCCUCAGCAAGUUUACAGACUGGGCCCGUUCAGAGGAGCACCAAGAGCUCAGUGGAAGAUGAAAGCCUCUCCCUGCUCCAGCAUCCUGUCUCCAAGAGCAGCCAGCGCCGGAUGCUCCGGAGGAAGGGAGCAAAACAAUGGGAGCACUCAGACCUGGGAUAAUCCAGCCUCUUUCAUCCAGCCCUCUAAGAAAGAUCAGUUCAUUUCCAGCAACCCAAGAUGAAAAGUGCUUUAAUGGUUUGCCUGGUUUUCUUUACUGACAGAUCCCUGUGUUCCUGCCACGGUAUUUUCCACUUCUAUUUCCAUGCAGUGGGGUCACAAAGUAGCAAUUCACUGUUUGAUUUUUGGGGGAGGCCUGGCAGUUUUGGUGCAAAGAAGGGGAAAGAAAUGUUUGCUUGCAGAAGCCUGAAGGGUGACUCUGUGGGCUUUUAGCUUGAUAAAAAUAGGAAUUGGUUCCUUUCCAAAGGGAAAAAUAAACUGCAAAGUUUCCACUGACUUGAAGUUGCA
rnacentral:lncRNA from 1 species